UAUCUGGGUGUUUGGUCAAGAAAAAUAUCUCUUUAUCCCUUGGAGAAAAGGCUGGUGUCCCUCUUGCCUGAUACCACCAGACCUUCCACAGCAAGACUCCAUGGCGACAGCCCUCCCUUCUCUUCCUUCACCUGGGGGCGAAGAGAAGCUGCAAGACCCCAUCCCAGACCUACUCACACUCAUCGCCCGCCUCCGCUGUGGCAAUGGCCUCCUGACUGACGCUCUUGCUCCCGGCCCAUCCACAGUCCCUUCUCCGCAAAGCAGCCAGUUUGUUUUUUAGGGCUCUUGGCCUUAAAUACACAUGGCUGAGCAAGGGUCAUCUGGCAAAUGAAGAAAACUCCUCCGGGAAGCAGACACCAAGUGGUUAGAAAGUGCAUGAGAUUUCCCCAGAUUUUCCGGACACAGUGUCUGUGGAGAACACACAGAAGAGGGAGCAGGAGUCAACAGGGAAAGUUCUCAGACGGCCAUGCGGGACUGGCAUGCAGAAAGAAGAGAGGGAAGGAAGGAGGACUGGGGCGAGGGGGUUUCAGCACGUGGUAUGGAGGCGUCCCAGCCAGAGCUUCAGAACGGAGACUGCCCACUGGAGGAGCCUGCUGGGCAGAGCCCCCUCGGGGCUCAUCCCUCCAUCGUGCUCAGUAAUUGGCUGGAGUUGCCUGAGGAAAGUGGGUCCUCACUUCAGUUCAAGGCU